rnacentral:rRNA from 1 species
AGUGAACGCUGGCGGUAGGCCUAACACAUGCAAGUCGAACGGCAGCACAGUAAGAGCUUGCUCUUACGGGUGGCGAGUGGCGGACGGGUGAGGAAUACAUCGGAUUCUACUUUUUCGUGGGGGAUAACGUAGGGAAACUUACGCUAAUACCGCAUACGACCUACGGGUGAAAGCAGGGGAUCUUCGGACCUUGCGCGAUUGAAUGAGCCGAUGUCGGAUUAGCUAGUUGGCGGGGUAAAGGCCCACCAAGGCGACGAUCCGUAGCUGGUCUGAGAGGAUGAUCAGCCACACUGGAACUGAGACACGGUCCAGACUCCUACGGGAGGCAGCAGUGGGGAAUAUUGGGCAAUGGGCGCAAGCCUGAUCCAGCCAUACCGCGUGGGUGAAGAAGGCCUUCGGGUUGUAAAGCCCUUUUGUUGGGAAAGAAAAGCAGCAGGUUAAUACCCCGCUGUUCUGACGGUACCCAAAGAAUAAGCACCGGCUAACUUCGUG